rnacentral:snRNA from 1 species
GUGCCUGCUUCGGCAGUACAUAUACUAAAAUUGGAAAUGUUUUAGAAAAGAUUAGGAUGGCCCCUGUGCUAGGAUGACACGCACAAGAAUUCGUGAAGUGUUCCAUAUUAAA